UUGAGAGUGAAGAAUAGAAGAAGAAGAGAAGAAGAGGAGAAAGGGAAGAUCAAGCAAAGAUUCUUCAAGAUCAUCGUGGAUUUUCGUCGGGGGUGAUCCCUAUCAAGAUACAGGUACCCCGGAUCAGCAUCCUGCACGUCGUUGAUCCAGCUGAGCACUCCAGAGUCAGUGGUGAGCCUCCUUGCAUUCCGGAGGACUCAAUUAUUUUGUGUUCUUAGUUUUUGUUUUAUUAGGAUGUUGCGGGGUCUGUCCCAACAUCCAUCUCAGUAUUUUAGAGGCUUCAUAGACAGACAGUCAGUCAGUUAGUUUUGAGUCUCUCAUCUAUAUAUAUAUGUAAAUAUUCUAUUUUGA